rnacentral:rRNA from 1 species
GAUGAACGCUGGCGGCGUGCCUAAUACAUGCAAGUCGAGCGAACGGACGAGAAGCUUGCUUCUCUGAUGUUAGCGGCGGACGGGUGAGUAACACGUGGAUAACCUACCUAUAAGACUGGGAUAACUUCGGGAAACCGGAGCUAAUACCGGAUAAUAUUUUGAACCGCAUGGUUCAAAAGUGAAAGACGGUCUUGCUGUCACUUAUAGAUGGAUCCGCGCUGCAUUAGCUAGUUGGUAAGGUAACGGCUUACCAAGGCAACGAUGCAUAGCCGACCUGAGAGGGUGAUCGGCCACACUGGAACUGAGACACGGUCCAGACUCCUACGGGAGGCAGCAGUAGGGAAUCUUCCGCAAUGGGCGAAAGCCUGACGGAGCAACGCCGCGUGAGUGAAGAAGGUCUUCGGAUCGUAAAACUCUGUUAUUAGGGAAGAACAUAUGUGUAAGUAACUGUGCACGUCUUGACGGUACCUAAUCAGAAAGCCACGGCUAACUACGUG